rnacentral:rRNA from 1 species
UACGUAGGGUGCGAGCGUUAAUCGGAAUUACUGGGCGUAAAGCGUGCGCAGGCUGUUCUGUAAGUCAGAUGUGAAAUCCCCGAGCUCAACUUGGGAACUGCGUUUGAAACUACAGGACUAGAAUAUGUCAGAGGGGGGUAGAAUUCCACGUGUAGCAGUGAAAUGCGUAGAGAUGUGGAGGAAUACCAAUGGCGAAGGCAGCCCCCUGGGAUAAUAUUGACGUUCAUGCACGAAAGCGUGGGGAGCAAACAGG